rnacentral:rRNA from 1 species
GUGGGGAAUAUUGGACAAUGGGCGAAAGCCUGAUCCAGCAAUGCCGCGUGAGUGAUGAAGGCCUUAGGGUUGUAAAGCUCUUUUACCCGGGAUGAUAAUGACAGUACCGGGAGAAUAAGCUCCGGCUAACUCCGUGCCAGCAGCCGCGGUAAUACGGAGGGAGCUAGCGUUGUUCGGAAUUACUGGGCGUAAAGCGCACGUAGGCGGCUUUGUAAGUUAGAGGUGAAAGCCUGGAGCUUAACUCCAGAACUGCCUUUAAGACUGCAUCGCUUGAAUCCAGGAUAGGUGAGUGGAAUUCCGAGUGUAGAGGUGAAAUUCGUAGAUAUUCGGAAGAACACCAGUGGCGAAGGCGGCUCACUGGACUGGUAUUGACGCUGAGGUGCGAAAGCGUGGGGAGCAAACAGGAUUAGAAACCCUGGUAGUCC